CUCUGCUGUCCGGCCUCAUCUGUCUCCUAGAUUGAGGGGGGCACCCAUCCCCCCACCGCCGACAUUGACCAGCAUGGGGCGUGCCCAUAGUCGGCUCUGAAAGCCAGCCUGGUUGGAUGAGAGCCAGACCCCAGCUCUGGAAGUCCCUUCUGACGUCUGACCCUCAGUCAGAGCUGCAGGAAGCAGCGCACCAGGCCUGGGGUUUGGGGGCCACUGGCAGCUAGAGGGAGGGCAGAGGAAGGCAGGCCUUGGGGAGCCCCCGUGUGACAUGUGACAGAGCAGACACAACCCCUGGCCUGAGAACCGGCGCCAGCACUCCCUGUGCGGCCUCAGGCUCGGAUAUGACUCUGUGGAGCCUCAGUUUCCCCAUCUGUAAAAUAGAAUAAGUACCCGUAAGGGCUGUAUGAGGGUCAAGAACAUGCGGAUAAAGUGUCUCCACUCGGAGUCCUGACAUCUCUCUCCGGAGGGCCUGCUGUGUGGGCCGUGGCGGCCAGGGCUCAGGGUGAGGGCGAGGGGAGAGAAAAGGGCUCCUGAAUGGCUUCCCAGCCCCGAAGCAGCUUCUGCUUUGAGGCCAACUGCGUGUCCUUUGGCUUUGGUGUGCCUCCGCUCCGGUGGCGAUAAGCGCCGAAUUGCAGGCUGUGUCUGUCUGCUCCCUGUGCGGACCUUGCCCUGCCCAGCAGCCCCAGCCCCGGAAGUUUGCUGGCUCAGCCCCAGCGCAGGAGCAGCUGCAGGCAACAGCCCCGGGUGUGCCUGAGGAGCCAGCCAAGGCAGGCGCUCACUGGACACCCUCCAACCUGGGCGGCGGCUGCUCCUAGACAGGCACUCUGCAAUUCUUGGAAUGCACCUGGAAGGCCGGCCUCCGGCCCUCCACACCGGGCUCCAGGGCCCCUUCCAGAGCAGGAGGCCUUCUUGCCCUCCCUCAAGCUGGGCUUUGGGUCUCCUGGUGCACUCCUGGACCCGAGCAUUGGUGCCUGCCCUGGUACCACCUGAGGGUGGGGUGGAGGGCACGGGCGGGGCUGACUCAUCUGCGUUGGGAGCUGAUGCCUGGCAGCGGUGCUGGCCAGUGGGUGUGUUUGUUGAUCCAGUGAAUGGAGGAAUGUGAGGAGGUUGGUGGGGAGUGAGCUUUGACCUGCAGCCACCUCCCCUGUCCACCUGCCUGGGGGAAAGUCAGAGUCCUGAGUCUCACUCAGAGGCUGGAGCAGGAGGUCAGGUGUGGGCGAGGGGUCCACCUUUCCUGCCCUGAUGGGGGAGGGAGGCCCAGCGCCCCCAGGGCCGCUCCUGCCUGGGGCUGUCUCCCUUGCACCCAGUCAUGCUUCCGAGCUGCACACCUGGUCCAGAGAGGCCAGCACAGGCCGGAGCAGGGUGAAGAAGGUGGGGUGAACGUGAUUUAGUUGGAGAGAGGUUGGAGAAGUCCCUGGGGUCGGCAGGGAGUGCAGAGGAGGGCUUUGGGCCCUGAUUAAGAGUGUGUGUGUGUGUGUGUGUGUGUGUGUGUGUGUGUGUGGAGUGGAGGCCGAGGUCGCUCCACAGUCUCUGAGACUCAUCCACGCGGUGGUGUGCAUCGUUCACUCAUGUUUCUUGAUUUCUAUGAAAUAUUUCGUUGCACAAACCUAUCCACUGAAAGCUGAGGUGCAGAGGCCGGGUGCUGGCAGAGCUGGUGGGCCUCCUUCGGGCACCACGCUGAGCAGGCUAAGCC
rnacentral:lncRNA from 1 species